rnacentral:rRNA from 1 species
UACACACCGUCCGUCACACCAUGGGAGUCGUUUGCUCCAGAAGUGGCUGCGCCAACCCGCAAGGGAGGCAGGUCCCCAAGGAGUGACCGGUAACUGGGUG